rnacentral:rRNA from 1 species
UACGUAGGGGGGCGAGCGUUGUCCGGAGUUACUGGGCGUAAAGGGCAUGCAGGCGGUCGGACGCGUUUUGUGUGACAGCGGGUGGCUCAACUACGCGAGCAUACGAAAGACGGUUUGACUUGAGGGCUCGAGAGGGACACGGAAUUCCGGGUGGAGUGGUGAAAUGCGUAGAGAUCCGGAGGAACACCGAAGGACGAAGGCAGUGUCCUGGCGAGUGACUGACGCUGAGGUGCGAAAGCCAGGGGAGCGAACGGG